UACGACUACAUAUCAGGCAUAUCAAUAAGCGGAGGAAAAGAAACUAACUAGGAUUCCCUCAGUAACGGCGAGUGAAGCGGGAAGAGCUCAAAUUUGAAAUCUUCAAGGUUUUACCUUGACGAAUUGUAGUUUAAAGAAGUGUUUUCUGUUGGAUGUUUUGGUAAAAGUUCUUUGGAAUAGGACAUCAUAGAGGGUGAGAAUCCCGUAUUUGACCAUUAUUUCCAACUUUGUGAUACACUUUCAAAGAGUCGGAUUGUUUGGGAAUGCAGUCCAAAAUGGGUGGUAAAUUUCAUCUAAAGCUAAAUACUGGCGAGAGACCGAUAGCGAACAAGUACCGUGAGGGAAAGAUGAAAAGAACUUUGAAAAGAGAGUUAAACAGUACGUGAAAUUGUCAAAAGGGAAGCGUUUGACACCAGUGUUGUUUUCUCGAAAAUCAAUUAAAAAUGGUGGGAUUUUGUGUUGUAUUGACUUUAUCAGCUUUCUGCACUCUUUUCCUUAUCCUUUUUAAUGCACUUUUCGUUUAACAAGUCAACAUCAAUUUCUUUUGUUGUAAAAGGGUCAUUGGAAGGUGGCUUUCUUUUCGGAGAAAGUGUUUAUAGCCUUUGGCCUCUGCAAUCGGAGAGAUUGAGGUCUGCAGCGUAGAUCCUUCGGGGUUAGAUACAUUUGUGCUAAGUUAUAGCCUUUCAUAGACAACUUGUUGACUAUGAUCAGUCAUGUAGCUUACUCGCUUAUGCUAUUUUACCUACGCUUAGGAUGUUGACGCGCGUGUGUGCGUG
rnacentral:rRNA from 1 species